UGGGGAAUAUUGCACAAUGGGCCCAAGCCUGAUGCAGCCAUGCCGCGUGUAUGAAGAAGGCCUUCGGGUUGUAAAGUACUUUCAGCGAGGAGGAAGGCAUUAAGGUUAAUAACCUUGGUGAUUGACGUUACUCGCAGAAGAAGCACCGGCUAACUCCGUGCCAGCAGCCGCGGUAAUACGGAGGGUGCAAGCGUUAAUCGGAAUUACUGGGCGUAAAGCGCACGCAGGCGGUCUGUCAAGUCGGAUGUGAAAUCCCCGGGCUCAACCUGGGAACUGCAUUCGAAACUGGCAGGCUAGAGUCUUGUAGAGGGGGGUAGAAUUCCAGGUGUAGCGGUGAAAUGCGUAGAGAUCUAGAGGAAUACCGGUGGCGAAGGCGGCCCCCUGGACAAAGACUGACGCUCAGGUGCGAAAGCGUGGGGAGCAAACA
rnacentral:rRNA from 1 species